rnacentral:rRNA from 1 species
UACGUAGGGGGCGAGCGUUAUCCGGAUUUACUGGGCGUAAAGGGGGCGUAGGCGGCUUGUCAAGUCGGACGUGAAAUCUCCCGGCUUAACUGGGAGGGUGCAUUCGAUACUGAUGGGCUAGAGUGCAGCAGAGGGAAGUGGAAUUCCCGGUGUAGUGGUGAUAUGCGUAGAUAUCGGGAGGAACACUAGUGGCGAAGGCGGCUUCCUGGGCUGUUACUGACGCUGAGGCCCGAAGGCGUGGGGAGCAAACAGGAUUAGAUACCCCCGUA